rnacentral:lncRNA from 1 species
GAGCUGGCUGAUGGAGUGUGUGUCGCUGUGGCUAGCGUAGGGCGGUGACUAGCGGCGGUCUGGGGCUGCUCACCUUCGGUCAGGUUCAGAAACCCAAGAAAUGGAGCGCAGUUCCUGCUGAACGCCGGCAGCAGUGGAGGGGCCCGGAAGCGCUAUCCGAACAGCGUGAGCCUCUGGCAGAGAAAAGAAGGCUCUAAAAGUGUACUCCUACUCCGGCGGGGUCUGGGUCUUGGGUGAUACCGACCGAGGCGGAAAAGAUGUGGGCGCGGCUCCCGUCUUUGAGGCUCCGAGGAGCCCUGAGACCUUGGUUCUGGCGGCUCCCGGAGGCAGUCGAGUGAUUGCCCUUCAAAGAGCAUCCGCCGGGUGGUUUGUGUGGUUGUGUACUUUUAGCUGACUGUACCGCCACAUCACGUAGGAGUCGUCUCCAUUUUAUUGAUUGGGAAUGUAAGGCUCAAGGAACUUGGGUUUACUGGCCAAGAUGGCAUAUUCACCAACAUCAAGUUCUGUAAUAGUGACUAUGAUCAACUCUUAGUCAGGCCAUGGUAUACCCAUGUAAACACAAACCUUGAAGACCUGGGAGUUCAAUACCAGUUUCUGCAAGACUC